CCUCCCCCCAAUGCAGCAUCUGAUUAUGUGGACUUUACCGAUCUGCAUUGAAUGACGAUCAACUCCUGAACUAAUGACUCGAUCUGUUUUUACGUAUUGCACGAAAGCCGACCCGUUUCCGCUAUUGUCUACACCUUUAUUAAACAGACUGUACAUCAUAGAUUUAGUGGCAGAAUUAACCAGCAUCUUGGUAAGGACCAUUUACAGUAUCAGGAAGGAAAUGAAUGAAGGCACAGUAUUGAUACGAAACAAGUCUUUGAAAUUAAAAGUCCUGAAACAUCAUUUAAGUAGAUAUGACGAUUUUAUUAAAUCUGCCAUUCACAUGAAAAUACCACCAUUUUUUCUGUGAUGAAUGCCCCACCAUAAAUUUGUCUAUUGAUAGACAUAAAUGCCGACAAUGUCUUAUCGACGACAUUAUCGACAACAGCACUUUACUACUUACUUCACCAC
rnacentral:lncRNA from 1 species